CCUACGGGGGGCAGCAGUGGGGAAUAUUGCACAAUGGGCGCAAGCCUGAUGCAGCCAUGCCGCGUGUGUGAAGAAGGCCUUCGGGUUGUAAAGCACUUUCAGCGGUGAGGAAGGCGGUGAGGUUAAUAACCUCAUCGAUUGACGUUACCCGCAGAAGAAGCACCGGCUAACUCCGUGCCAGCAGCCGCGGUAAUACGGAGGGUGCAAGCGUUAAUCGGAAUUACUGGGCGUAAAGCGCACGCAGGCGGUCUGUCAAGUCGGAUGUGAAAUCCCCGGGCUCAACCUGGGAACUGCAUUCGAAACUGGCAGGCUAGAGUCUUGUAGAGGGGGGUAGAAUUCCAGGUGUAGCGGUGAAAUGCGUAGAGAGCUGGAGGAAUACCGGUGGCGAAGGCGGCCCCCUGGACAAAGACUGACGCUCAGGUGCGAAAGCGUGGGGAGCAAACAGGAUUAGAUACCCUAGUAGUC
rnacentral:rRNA from 1 species